rnacentral:rRNA from 1 species
UACGGGGGGGGCUAGCGUUGUUCGGAAUUACUGGGCGUAAAGGGCUCGUAGGUGGCCAACUAAGUCAUGCGUGAAAUCCCUCAGCUUAACUGGGGAACUGCGUGUGAUACUGGAUGGCUUGGAUUUGGGAGAGGGAUGCGGAAUUCCAGGUGUAGCGGUGAAAUGCGUAGAUAUCUGGAGGAACACCGGUGGCGAAGGCGGCAUCCUGGACCAAUAUUGACGCUGAGGAGCGAAAGCCAGGGGAGCAAACGGG